CAGUAGCCACGGUAAAACAGAGGGUGCGAGCGUUAAUCGGAUUUACUGGGCGUAAAGCGUGCGUAGGCGGCUUUUUAAGUCGGAUGUGAAAUCCCUGAGCUUAACUUAGGAAUUGCAUUCGAUACUGGGAAGCUAGAGUAUGGGAGAGGAUGGUAGAAUUCCAGGUGUAGCGGUGAAAUGCGUAGAGAUCUGGAGGAAUACCGAUGGCGAAGGCAGCCAUCUGGCCUAAUACUGACGCUGAGGUACGAAAGCAUGGGGAGCAAACAGGAUUAGAUACCCGGGUAGUCCCUGUCUCUUAUAC
rnacentral:rRNA from 1 species